AAAUUGAAGAGUUUGAUCAUGGCUCAGAUUGAACGCUGGCGGCAGGCCUAACACAUGCAAGUCGAACGGUAACAGGAAGCAGCUUGCUGCUUCGCUGACGAGUGGCGGACGGGUGAGUAAUGUCUGGGAAGCUGCCUGAUGGAGGGGGAUAACUACUGGAAACGGUGGCUAAUACCGCAUAACGUCGCAAGACCAAAGAGGGGGACCUUCGGGCCUCUUGCCAUCAGAUGUGCCCAGAUGGGAUUAGCUAGUUGGUGAGGUAACGGCUCACCAAG
rnacentral:rRNA from 1 species